rnacentral:rRNA from 1 species
GAUGAACGCUGGCGGCGUGCCUAAUACAUGCAAGUCGAGCGAACAGAUGAGGAGCUUGCUCCUCUGACGUUAGCGGCGGACGGGUGAGUAACACGUGGAUAACCUACCUAUAAGACUGGGAUAACUUCGGGAAACCGGAGCUAAUAACGGAUAAUAUAUUGAACCGCAUGGUUCAAUAGUGAAAGACGGUUUUGCUGUCACUUAUAGAUGGAUCCGCGCCGCAUUAGCUAGUUGGUAAGGUAACGGCUUACCAAGGCAACGAUGCGUAGCUGACCUGAGAGGGUGAUCGGCCACACUGGAACUGAGACACGGUCCAGACUCCUACGGGAGGCAGCAGUAGGGAAUCUUCCGCAAUGGGCGAAAGCCUGACGGAGCAACGCCGCGUGAGUGAUGAAGGUCUUCGGAUCGUAAAACUCUGUUAUUAGGGAAGAACAAAUGUGUAAGUAACUAUGCACGUCUUGACGGUACCUAAUCAGAAAGCCACGGCUAACUACGUG